AGAGUUUGAUCAUGGCUCAGAACGAACGCUGGCGGCAGGCUUAACACAUGCAAGUCGAACGCCCCGCAAGGGGAGUGGCAGACGGGUGAGUAACACGUGGGAACGUGCCCAAAGGUACGGAACAACUCCGGGAAACUGGAGCUAAUACCGUAUGUGCCCGAAAGGGGAAAGAUUUAUCGCCUUUGGAUCGGCCCGCGUCUGAUUAGCUAGUUGGUGGGGUAAUGGCCCACCAAGGCGACGAUCAGUAGCUGGUCUGAGAGGAUGAUCAGCCACACUGGGACUGAGACACGGCCCAGACUCCUACGGGAGGCAGCAGUGGGGAAUAUUGGACAAUGGGCGCAAGCCUGAUCCAGCCAUGCCGCGUGAGUGAUGAAGGCCUUAGGGUUGUAAAGCUCUUUUGUCCGGGAGGAUAAUGACCGUACCGGAAGAAUAAGCUCCGGCUAACUUCGUGCCAGCAGCCGCGGUAAUACGAAGGGAGCUAGCGUUGUUCGGAAUUACUGGGCGUAAAGCGCAUGCAGGCGGAUCGUUAAGUCGAGGGUGAAAUCCCAGGGCUCAACCCUGGAACUGCCUUCGAUACUGGCGACCUUGAGUCCGGGAGAGGUGAGUGGAACUCCGAGUGUAGAGGUGAAAUUCGUAGAUAUUCGGAAGAACACCAGUGGCGAAGGCGGCUCACUGGCCCGGUACUGACGCUGAGAUGCGAAAGCGUGGGGAGCAAACAGGAUUAGAUACCCUGUAGUCCACGCCGUAAACGAUGAAUGCUAGCCGUCGGUGGGCAUGCCCUUCGGUGGCGCAGCUAACGCUUUAAGCAUUCGCUGGAGUACGAUCGCAGAUUAAAACUCAAAGGAAUUGACGGGGCCCGCACAAGCGGUGGAGCAUGUGUUUAAUUCGACGCAACGCGAAGACCUUACCAGGCCUUGUAUCCCGGU
rnacentral:rRNA from 2 species